AGUUAGAUACUAUCCUUGACAUGGAAAAAGAUGAGUUGGCUCUUGAGAUAGAAGAGGAAGAAGAAGGCGAGAUAGAGUAUGUUGAAGGUGAUGAUAUCGAGAUGGGUGACAUGGAUGAUAUGGAAGAUUUUGAAGGCUUUGGUGAUGAAGAUGGUGGAAGAACACGAGGACAAGGGU